UAAUACAUGCAAGUCGAGCGCGAUCCGUCCGAUGCUUGCAUCGGACACAUGAUCGAGCGGCGAACGGGUGAGUAACACGUGAGAAACCUGCCCCGAAGACCGGGAUAACCCGGGGAAACUCGGGCUAAUACCGGAUGUCCCCAUCAGGUCGCAUGGCCAGAUGAGGAAAGGCUCCGGCGCUUUGGGAGGGUCUCGCGGCCUAUCAGCUAGUUGGUGAGGUAACGGCUCACCAAGGCAUCGACGGGUAGCUGGUCUGAGAGGACGAUCAGCCACACUGGGACUGAGACACGGCCCAGACUCCUACGGGAGGCAGCAGUAGGGAAUCUUGCGCAAUGGGCGAAAGCCUGACGCAGCAACGCCGCGUGGGGGAUGAAGGCUCUCGGGUUGUAAACCCCUUUCAGGAGGGACGAAAAUGACGGUACCUCCAGAAGAAGCCCCGGCCAACUACGUG
rnacentral:rRNA from 1 species